GAGUUUGAUCAUGGCUCAGAUUGAACGCUGGCGGCAUGCCUUACACAUGCAAGUCGAACGGCAGCAUGAUCUAGCUUGCUAGAUUGAUGGCGAGUGGCGAACGGGUGAGUAAUACAUCGGAACAUGCCCUGUAGUGGGGGAUAACUAGUCGAAAGAUUAGCUAAUACCGCAUACGACCUGAGGGUGAAAGUGGGGACCGCAAGGCCUCAUGCUAUAGGAGCGGCCGAUGUCUGAUUAGCUAGUUGGUGGGGUAAAGGCCCACCAAGGCGACGAUCAGUAGCUGGUCUGAGAGGACGAUCAGCCACACUGGGACUGAGACACAGCCCAGACUCCUACGGGAGGCAGCAGUGGGAAUUUGGACAAUGGGCGAAAGCCUGAUCCAGCAAUGCCGCGUGUGUGAGAAGGCCUCGGUGUAAGU
rnacentral:rRNA from 1 species